GAAAAACAGAAUCCAAUUUGUCUAAUAAAAAGAAGAAAAACAAAGAAGUCUUGAAGAACAAGAACAUAGAAUAUUGUUUGCUCCCAUGGCUUUGUGCGUCUUUGACAUAUUAAUCUAAUGUUUCUGUCGAUUUUUCAGGAAGCAACAUUGACAAUGAGAAAAGAAAUUCAAGAUCUGAAGUUUAUUCAGAUCAAAAGAAAAAAGAAAUUCAAGAUCUUAAUUAGGACAAAUGCAAAGGUCUUUUAGCUAAGCUAGUUAUGUACUUUCACACCCUUGAUCUCCCUCAUGUACAUUUUAUGUGCCCUUGAAUAUAGAUCUGUUAUAUAAUUGAAAACAAGUUUAGAACCAAAUAGAUUAAGGAUCCGAUUCUGGAGUUUUGGUCUGGGUUCUUAUGUGUCCUUGUUCUUGUGGAAUUCUUUGUUUUUUUUCAAUUAUUAGACAAAUUGGAUUUUGAUUUUUAGAUUUUAAAUUCUGAUUUUUUUCUUCUUUUCUUUUUAUUUGAUUUGUAAUGAAGUUAGGUGAUACCACGUCACUUGCCACAUCAAUUAGUCAUAUGUUGACAUCAUAUUUACAAUUGAUCGGGGACGCUGGGGUGGAGGCGCGCCCUCGCCGGCCCCGUACGGUGGCGAACGGAGGGACGUCCGCACUUUAAGGGUGUGCGGACGUCCUCCUCUGAUCCAGACUGUACAUAUAUANNNNN
rnacentral:lncRNA from 1 species